rnacentral:lncRNA from 10 species
CUGGUGCAAGAAGGGACCUAUUCCAUCUGCAAGUGAAACUCACUCACUUCCUUUCUCCAGAAAGAAAACUGAAGCCUGGAGAGGUAAAGAGACUUACCUAAGGCCAGUUGGCAAAAGACUCUUAACCUCCUGACCUCCAACUCCACUCCCUACUGGGAGAAUUUAUUUGAAUCUCUCUUUUCCUUGGCUAAGAAGAAUGAAGAGGCAGGAGACUUGGGGGACCCCUUAACUGGGGAUAAUUACUGGGACAAAUCAGCCAGCACAAAGAGGAGGCACUAAACAAUCAGUCCUGGUCUCUGUUAUCAGAGACUUUUGAUGCUACCAUUGGAGUCAGACAAGCAGACAAACAUCAACAAAAUGAUUAUAAACUAUGACACACUAUGAUGGGAAAGAAGGAGGCUGACAGAGAGGACAUUGGCAGGAAGGAGCCCUACUGUAGAUGUGGUGGUCAGAGAAGGGCCUUUGUGAGAAGCUGACACAUAAUCUCACAGUUGAAGUUGUGAGAAGGAGCUGGUCCUCCAGAGAGAAGUAGGAAGAGCGCUCCAGCAGAAUCUCUGGGCAAGUGCAGCUACGACUGCUGCUGGGACCGCGAUACUGUGAUGAGACUUUGCAUAUUUAAAAGGAUGUCGAGAGAGGAGGAGGAAUGAUAAAUGAACUCAGGAAGAUGUGAUGUCUUCUGUGAUGACACUAAUAGAUGGAAUGCAGAAUUCAGCUCCAAUACUUAGGGUUGGAAACCAAACAUAAACAAGCAAGCAAGGAAAAUGAAAAGGAAUGUGUGUGUGUGUGUGUGUGUGUGUGUGUGUGUGUGUGUGUAGGUGUGAGAGUAUAUGAAAUACAUGAAAAGAUAAAAAGUUAGAUGCUGCUAAAGGGACAGACAUGUAGGAAUUUUACAUUAGGGUUGUUCUGAUUUUCAUUUUCUUGCCUUUUAAAAUUUAAUGAUAAACAAGUCUCCAGAGAUUUUUACAGCCUGGGAGACCACUGGUAAGACAACAAUAUAGGUGGUCCUCCAGCAGGAUCUAAAUCAGAGCCUUCAUAGUGGACUGUCGGGCCAGGUGCAGCUGUAGACAAUGCAUCUUCAGGAGUGGGGUGAAGAAAUUUAAUGGACUAGUAAUGCAACAGGAGGUAGAAGAAAAGUGUUCUCUCACUAAAGCAUGGUGGGUGUUUUCAAAAUGUUUAAAAAACAUUUUUAGGCCGGGCACAGUGGCUCACACCUGUAAUCUCAGAGCUUGGGGUGGCUGAGGACCCAAAAGGAGGAUCCCUUGAUGCCAGGAGUUGUAGACCAGCCUGGUCUAACAUAGCAAUACCCUGUCUCUAAAAAAAAAAAAAAAAAAAAAAAUUAAUUAGCCAGGCAGGUGACAAGUGCCUGUAGUCCCAGUUACUCAGGAGGAUAAGGCAGGAGGAUCGCUUGAACC